rnacentral:rRNA from 1 species
AGAUUUGUACCGCCGUUUUGAGGCCAGCUUGCUGGUACCCAAACAGCGUUAGCAUCUUUUGUCUUGGACAUUUGAGUAUGGYUUACGGGCAUUUAUUGGUUCGAUCUGAUUGUAAGUUACGGUCGCAUGCGACACGUGCUUUUCAUUUAGAUCGGUCCAGUUAAUGCUCUCGUACUCGCUCCCCAUGUAAAAGCCGGUCAUCUAUCCGACCCGUCUUGAAACACRGRMCAAGGAGUUUAUCGUGUGCGCAAGUUUUUGGGUGUUAAAAACCUAAAAGCGAAAUGRAAGUAAAUGGCUCUUUAGAGUCUGAUGUGCGAUCUUGUAAAAAAGGGCAGCAUGGCCCCAUUCUAACUGUUUACAGUAGGGUGGAGGAAGAGCGUACGCGGUGAGACCCGAAAGAUGGUGAACUAUUCCUGAGCAGGACGAAGCCAGAGGAAACUCUGGUGGAAGU